rnacentral:tRNA from 4 species
GGGCCGAUAGCUCAGUUGGUAGAGCAGCUGACUCUUAAUCAGCGGGUCGCAGGUUCGAGCCCUGCUCGGCUCACCA